rnacentral:rRNA from 1 species
UACGAAGGGGGCUAGCGUUGCUCGGAUUGACUGGGCGUAAAGGGCGCGUAGGCGGUUCGUACAGUCAGACGUGAAAUUCCUGGGCUCAACCUGGGGGCUGCGUUUGAUACGUGCGGACUUGAGUGCGGAAGAGGGUCGUGGAAUUCCCAGUGUAGAGGUGAAAUUCGUGGAUAUUGGGAAGAACACCGGUGGCGAAGGCGGCGACCUGGUCCGAUACUGACGCUGAGGCGCGAAAGCGUGGGGAGCAAACAGG